CAACUUUCAACAACGGAUCUCUUGGCUCUCGCAUUGAUGAAGAACGCAGCGAAAUGCGAUAAGUAAUGUGAAUUGCAGAAUUCAGUGAAUCAUCGAAUUUUUGAACGCACCUUGCGCUCCUUGGUAUUCCGAGGAGCAUGCCUGUUUGAGUGUCA
rnacentral:rRNA from 1 species